UUCGACUUCAUCCGUUUACAGCAUAGCCCUCAGCGUUAUAGUUUUUUUUCCCGAUACUUACUCCACUUCUAAAGCUGUUAAAAAUACAAUUCCUUAAAAAAGAAGAUCAAGACUUCUUUGUCAACCUCACUACGAAGACUCUGGAGCUUAGACGAACUUCUAAAGAGGUACGACCAGACUUUCUCCAGUUGAUGAUGGACGCUCACAAGGAAAUGCAUGACAAAUCUGGCGAAGUUCACAAAGGUUUGACGGACAAGCAGAUCCUCGCACAAUCCCUGAUCUUCUUCCUGGCCGGUUACGAGACGACGGCCACGCUGCUGGCCAUGUGGUCCUACUGCCUCGCUACC